AUACUUACCUGACAGAGGAGAUACCAUGAUCACAAAGGUGGUUUUCCCAGGGUGAGGCUUAUCCAUUGCCCUCCAGAUGUGCUGACCCCUGUGAUUUCCCUUUUUCUAUAUUAAAAUUUUUUUUAAAAAAAGAUCAGCUAAUUAAUAACCUUAAUUUCUUAUA
rnacentral:snRNA from 2 species